UGGCAAUGAGGAUGACAUUUAAACAUGAGUUACUGUGAUCAUUUUAUACGCUAUUCUGAGCCAACA
ensembl:snoRNA small nucleolar RNA, C/D box 54